rnacentral:rRNA from 1 species
UCUGGCUCAGGAUGAACGCUAGCGGUGUGCCUAACACAUGCAAGUCGAACGGACCUUCGGGUUAGUGGCGAACGGGUGAGUAAUGCAUAAGUAACAUACCCCUAAGAUCGGGAUAACUUUUCGAAAGGAAAGAUAAUACCGAAUACUCUCUUUAGAUCGCAUGAUCUUUAGAGGAAAGAAUUUCGCUUAGGGAUUGGCUUAUGUCUGAUUAGCUUGUUGGUAGGGUAAUGGCCUACCAAGGCGACGAUCAGUAGCUGGUCUGAGAGGACGAACAGCCACACUGGGACUGAGANACGGCCCAGACUCCUACGGGAGGCAGCAGUGAGGAAUAUUGCGCAAUGGGNGAAANCCUGACGCAGCAANGCCGCGUGAGCGAUGAAGCCUUUNGGGGUGUAAAGCUCUGUCNAGAGGNANGAUUAUGACNGUACCUCUAGAGGAAGUCACGGCUAAUUACGUGCCAGCAGCCGCGGUAAUACGUAAGUGGCAAGCGUUAUCCGGAUUUAUUGGGCAUAAAGAGUACGAAGGUGGUUUCUUAAGUCAGAUGUUAAAAGCUACUGCUUAACAGUAGUCUGCAUUUGAAACUGAGGAACUAGAGGCUAGUAGAGGAAAGCGGAACUCAUAGUGUAGCGGUGAAAUGCGUAGAUAUUAUGAGGAACACCAGUGGCGAAGGCGGCUUUCUGGACUAGUUCUGACACUAAAGUACGAAAGCGUGGGUAGCAAACGGGAUUAGAUACCCCGGUAGUCCACGCCGUAAACGUUGUUCACUAAGUGUAGGAGGUAUCGACCCCUU